AACGAACGCUGGCGGCAUGCCUAACACAUGCAAGUCGAACGAGAUCUUCGGAUCUAGUGGCGCGCGGGUGCGUAACGCGUGGGAAUCUGCCUUGGGGUACGGAAUAACUCUUCGAAAGGGGAGCUAAUACCGUAUGACGUCUUUGGACCAAAGAUUUAUCGCCCUGAGAUGAGCCCGCGUUGGAUUAGCUAGUUGGUGGGGUAAAGGCCUACCAAGGCGACGAUCCAUAGCUGGUCUGAGAGGAUGAUCAGCCACACUGGGACUGAGACACGGCCCAGACUCCUACGGGAGGCAGCAGUGGGGAAUAUUGGACAAUGGGCGCAAGCCUGAUCCAGCAAUGCCGCGUGAGUGAUGAAGGCCUUAGGGUUGUAAAGCUCUUUUACCCGGGAAGAUAAUGACUGUACCGGGAGAAUAAGCCCCGGCUAACUCCGUGCCAGCCGCCGCCGUAAAAC
rnacentral:rRNA from 1 species